rnacentral:rRNA from 1 species
UAACACAUGCAAGUCGAGCGGAAACGAGUUAUCUGAACCUUCGGGGAACGAUAACGGCGUCGAGCGGCGGACGGGUGAGUAAUGCCUGGGAAAUUGCCCUGAUGUGGGGGAUAACCAUUGGAAACGAUGGCUAAUACCGCAUAAUAGCUUCGGCUCAAAGAGGGGGACCUUCGGGCCUCUCGCGUCAGGAUAUGCCCAGGUGGGAUUAGCUAGUUGGUGAGGUAAGGGCUCACCAAGGCGACGAUCCCUAGCUGGUCUGAGAGGAUGAUCAGCCACACUGGAACUGAGACACGGUCCAGACUCCUACGGGAGGCAGCAGUGGGGAAUAUUGCACAAUGGGCGCAAGCCUGAUGCAGCCAUGCCGCGUGUAUGAAGAAGGCCUUCGGGUUGUAAAGUACUUUCAGCAGUGAGGAAGGUGGUGUACUUAAUACGUGCAUCAUUUGACGUUAGCUGCAGAAGAAGCACCGGCUAACUCCGUG